AAGUCGUAACAAGGUCUCCGUUGGUGAACCAGCGGAGGGAUCAUUACAGAGUUGCAAAACUCCCAACCCUUUGUGAACGUACUGAAAAGUUGCUUCGGCGGGAGGCUCCUCAGGGAGCGGACCGCCGGAGGAAUCCAAACUCUUGUUUUUUUGGCAUCUCUGAGUAGCUUAUAAAUAAGUUAAAACUUUCAACAACGGAUCUCUUGGUCCUG
rnacentral:misc_RNA from 1 species